rnacentral:rRNA from 1 species
GCGAUACUGGUGCCAGCAGCCGGGCGAAUCGGUGGGGGGUGAGCGUUAAUCGGAUUUACUGUGCGUAAAGCGAGAGUAAGUGGCUAAUUAAGUCAAAGGUGAAAUCCCCGAGCUUAACUUGGGAAUUGCAUUCGAUAGUGGUUGGCUAGAGUAUGGGAGAGGAUGGUAGAAUUCCAGGUGUAGCGGUGAAAUGCGUAGAGAUCUGGAGGAAUACCGAUGGCGAAGGCAGCCAUCUGGCCUAAUACUGACACUGAGGUGCGAAAGCAUGGGGAGCAAACAGGGUUAGAUACCCGUGUAGUC